rnacentral:rRNA from 1 species
GACGAACGCUGGCGGCGUGCUUAACACAUGAAAGUCGAACGGAAAGGCCCUGCUUUUGUGGGGUGCUCGAGUGGCGAACGGGUGAGUAACACGUGAGUAACCUGCCCUUGACUUUGGGAUAACUUCAGGAAACUGGGGCUAAUACCGGAUAGGAGCUCCUGCUGCAUGGUGGGGGUUGGAAAGUUUCGGCGGUUGGGGAUGGACUCGCGGCUUAUCAGCUUGUUGGUGGGGUAGUGGCUUACCAAGGCUUUGACGGGUAGCCGGCCUGAGAGGGUGACCGGCCACAUUGGGACUGAGAUACGGCCCAGACUCCUACGGGAGGCGGCAGUGGGGAAUAUUGCACAAUGGGCGGAAGCCUGAUGCAGCAACGCCGCGUGCGGGAUGACGGCCUUCGGGUUGUAAACCGCUUUCGCCUGUGACGAAGCGUGAGUGACGGUAAUGGGUAAAGAAGCACCGGCUAACUACGUG